UGGGGAAUUUUGGACAAUGGGCGAAAGCCUGAUCCAGCAAUGCCGCGUGUGUGAAGAAGGCCUUCGGGUUGUAAAGCACUUUUGUCCGGAAAGAAAUCCUUGGCUCUAAUACAGUCGGGGGAUGACGGUACCGGAAGAAUAAGCACCGGCUAACUACGUGCCAGCAGCCGCGGUAAUACGUAGGGUGCAAGCGUUAAUCGGAAUUACUGGGCGUAAAGCGUGCGCAGGCGGUUUGCUAAGACCGAUGUGAAAUCCCGGGCUCAACCUGGGAACUGCAUUGGUGGCUGGCAGGCUAGAGUAUGGCAGAGGGGGGUAGAAUUCCACGUGUAGCAGUGAAAUGCGUAGAGAUGUGGAGGAAUACCGAUGGCGAAGGCAGCCCCCUGGGCCAAUACUGACGCUCAUGCACGAAAGCGUGGGGAGCAAACAGGAUUAGAUACCCUGGGAUA
rnacentral:rRNA from 1 species